UACGAAGGGGACUAGCGUUGUUCGGAAUUACUGGGCGUAAAGCGCACGUAGGCGGAUUUGUAAGUCAGGGGUGAAAUCCCGGGGCUCAACCUCGGAACUGCCUUUGAUACUGCAAAUCUCGAGUCCGAUAGAGGUGGGUGGAAUUCCUAGUGUAGAGGUGAAAUUCGUAGAUAUUAGGAAGAACACCGGUGGCGAAGGCGGCCCACUGGAUCGGUACUGACGCUGAGGUGCGAAAGCGUGGGAGCAAACAGG
rnacentral:rRNA from 1 species